CGUCUCCUGGGAUGUUUGCCAGCCGGUGUCGUCCUUGAGCCGUUAGAGAACCUACAGGAGGUUCCUCUCGUGCGACGGUGUGCAGCACCAACGCCCGAACGACCUUCCCGCGAGGGAUGGCGCGUUUGGGAGGCGGGAAGCCUUAGACGCCGCGAGGGACCGCCGCCUUGAACCGAAACGGUUCAGGGCCAACCAGGCAGCGGCAUCUCCGGGAGGCCU
rnacentral:other from 1 species